rnacentral:rRNA from 1 species
UACGUAGGGUCCGAGCGUUGUCCGGAAUUACUGGGCGUAAAGCGUGCGUAGACGGUUACAUAAGUCGGGGUGUGAAAGCCCCGGGCUCAACCUGGGAAUUGCAUUCGAGACUGCGUAGCUAGGGUGCGGAAGAGGGAAGCGGGAAUUUCCGGUGUAGCGGUGAAAUGCGUAGAUAUCGGAAGGAACACCAGUGGCGAAAGCGGCUUCCUGGUCCAGCACCGACGUCAGGCACGAAAGCGUGGGGAGCAAACAGG